rnacentral:rRNA from 1 species
GUGAGGAAUAUUGGACAAUGGGCGCAAGCCUGAUCCAGCCAUGCCGCGUGCAGGAAGACGCAUCUAUGGUGUGUAAACUGCUUUUGUACGGGAAGAAACACUCCCUCGUGAGGGAGCUUGACGGUACCGUAAGAAUAAGGAUCGGCUAACUCCGUGCCAGCAGCCGCGGUAAUACGGAGGAUCCAAGCGUUAUCCGGAAUCAUUGGGUUUAAAGGGUCCGUAGGCGGUUUAAUAAGUCAGUUGUGAAAGCCCAUCGCUCAACGAUGGAACGGCCAUUGAUACUGUUCGACUUGAAUUACAAGGAAGUAACUAGAAGAUGUAGUGUAGCGGUGAAAUGCUUAGAUAUUACAUGGAAUACCAAUUGCGAAGGCAGGUUACUACUUGUGGAUUGACGCUGAUGGACGAAAGCGUGGGGAGCGAACAGGAUUAGAAACCCGUGUAGUCC